rnacentral:rRNA from 1 species
UACAGGGGGUGCAAACGUUGCUCGGAAUCAUUGGGCGUAAAGCGCACGUAGGCGGUCUGUUAUGUCGGAUGUGAAAGCCCUUGGCUUAACUGAGGAAGUGCAUCCGAAACUGGCAGGCUAGAGUACUAAAGAGGGUCGCGGAAUUCCCGGUGUAGAGGUGAAAUUCGUAGAUAUCGGGAAGGAACACCGGUGGCGAAGGCGGCGACCUGGGUAGAUACUGACGCUGAGGUGCGAAACGUGGGGAGCAAACAGG